rnacentral:rRNA from 1 species
GAUGAACGCUAGCGGCAGGCCUAAUACAUGCAAGUCGAACGGUAAGGCCCUUUCGGGGAUACACGAGUGGCGGACGGGUGCGUAACGCGUAUGCAACAUACCUUCAAGCGGGGGAUAUGCCAGGGAAACUUGGUGCAACACCCCAUAGCAUUUCGGGACCGCAUGGUCUUGGGAUUAAAUAUUUAUAGCUUGGAGAUUGGCAUGCGUGACAUUAGCUAGUUGGCGGGGUAACGCCCACCAAGGCGACGAUGUCUAGCUGGUCUGAGAGGAUGAUCAGCCACACUGGGACUGAGACACGGCCCAGACUCCUACGGGAGGCAGCAGUAGGGAAUAUUGGACAAUGGGGGGAACCCUGAUCCAGCCAUGCCGCGUGAGGGAAGAAGGUCCUCUGGAUUGUAAACCUCUUUUGGCGGGGGACAAACCUGCACUAUACGUGCAGCUGAGGGUACCCGCAGAAUAAGCACCGGCUAACUCCGUGCCAGCAGCCGCGGU